rnacentral:rRNA from 1 species
UACGUAGGAGGCAAGCGUUGUCCGGAAUUAUUGGGCGUAAAGCGCGCGCAGGCGGUUUCUUAAGUCUGAUGUGAAAGCCCACGGCUCAACCGUGGAGGGUCAUUGGAAACUGGGAAACUUGAGUGCAGAAGAGAAGAGCGGAAUUCCACGUGUAGCGGUGAAAUGCGUAGAGAUGUGGAGGAACACCAGUGGCGAAGGCGGCUCUUUGGAACGGUACUGACGCUGUGGCGCGAAAGCGUGGGGAGCGAACAGG